AUUCCUCGUCCGUCCUCCACAUGGGCUAGGCCCAAUGAAACCUUUUGUCCAACGCCCCCUUCCUCUAACCCUCGCACAGCCCUGCUCCAUCGUGCACCCCAGCCGCCGCUCGGAUCUCCAACGCCGCCAUUCUCGCCUAUCUUGCAACGAGGAUCUCCAACUCCAGCUCCACCCCGAGUCCGUCCACCGCCCUGGCCAUCACCCCAUAUCCACCGGCUCACAGAUCCCCGCUUGCAGUACCUUUGUCGGAAGGCCCGCGCGUCGUUGUGUGUGCCGCAUCUAGAGCCCAUGUCGGACUCGGAGGACGACAUCACCAGCAGCAGGGAGGUCGCCCCCAUCGAGAGCAUCAGCAAUCCGCUCGCCGAUGUCCUCGGGAGAACUGGAAGUGGGCUCCCGACUCCUUCCUGAAGACGCGUCUUGAGGACACUGGAUGCGCCCUCAAGUAUAUCCCACCCAUGGCACAUCGUCAACAAAAUUCUGAAUAUGCAUGCUCCUGAAUGGUUUGGGGUGGUUCACAACGUCAUCUACUCAUCUGAUUGGAAAUUUGUAUAUGUUAUCUAUCGUCUGACCCUCCAUGGAACUGAUGUUGAGGUAACUUUUUCUUGUCGUCAGAAAUGGUUUUGCAUUUGGCUCUGUUCUGGAUCUGUUUGGGUUUACGCUACUCUUCUUUAUUACAAUAUUACUCAGAGGUUCAGUGUAUAUAGUUAGUUGAUCAUGUACUAUGCAUAUGGAAAAUGUUUAAAUGGAUCAUAGUAUUUCUAUGUGGACAUGACGAAGUGAGGAUCCUACUAUCACUCAAUGUUCCAUUGUUGACACAAGCUCAUCUCAGUGUUUUUUUGUCACAUUAACUAAUAGUUCAAGUGUUCUAUAUCCAGUUGAUGACCGAAUCUAAACUAUUGUAAAUGUAUGUCUGUUUUCUUAGCAAGGGCCAGAGCUAAGUAACAACUAUUUGGAUAUGUCUCUUUUCAGACUACUUCUGUUGAGUAUACAAGCUUUGGAGAUCAUGUUCAGAAGGCUGAAGGACUCGCUUUUCGCCGAGCUUGUGCCCGUCUUGGUCACUUGCCUUUCAUCGGUAUUUCAUAAUUAACUCAUGUGUAAAGGUACUUCUCUUGACUGGCUUUCUGGCAACAAUGGUGAUGCGUGUGCUCAAAAACGACUUCAAUAUAAGGAUCAUGUUCAGUAAGAUCUGAAAUGUGUAUUCUAUUUUCACACAUGGAUCGUCGCCUUAAAUGUUAGUAAUACGUGAUGUCAAAGGUGCUUACUGUUGAUUAUUCGUGGUGUACACUUCUGGAGAUAUCUCUUGGUGCGUAGGCACUUGCCCUUCAUUGGUAUUCCAUGAUGUUGAAAUAUUAGCUUUCUUCCAUUUCUUCUUUUGUUGCUUACAAUUAUUAUUUCCAUGGCAGUGACACUGCGUCCCCUACACAAGCAUAGUCCACGCAUUCAGCAAGGCCCGGAGCUGAGAAUGGCGUGCCUAAUUAGUUGUCCAUUAGUACCAUGAACAAUAAAUCAAUGUUAUUGUGUGCCCUAAUAACUUACGGAUUUGUUGUGUGACUGGUGUUGAUAUUGACCUGCAUCCCUUGAACUUGAUCAAGAAUAUUCUACUGAUCUAUUGCUUUAGAAGUUUCACCAUAACAAUUGCUUUUAUUUAAAGUAGAAUAAUCUUUUGAUCGAGUCAUUUUCCUUUUUUUUACAUGCGCAAUUCUUCAUGAUAUUGUAUUUUUGUAAUUAAUUCUCAUGCAUAUGUAGUUUGAGAAAAUUGUUAAUCAACAACGUCAUGUUGAACACCUGUGUGAAAGGUUUUAUUCCAACAUACUUAAAUAAGUUGUUUUUGCAACUCUUUAGCAUUGUGAUGGUCUUGAUUUAUUAUCUUAGCAUCAUGUGGCAAGUCUGCAUUUUUUCAAGGAUUCUUCUCACAUGAAGUUUAAAACGUGUCUCUUUUUUGUUUGUUAUUGAAACCUCAAAUCAGGUGGGAGAUGAGUAGUCAUUGGUUCACUUGUCAAAUUUUGGGCAUCAACGAUAAUAUGGUCUCAAGUGGAUGUUGCUUGAUGGAUUUGAGUCAUCUUCAACAAGUGGAAGACCCAAGUUGGUUUGCAUCUCUCCUCCUCUUGGAUUGCACGAUCUAUGCAGGACAUUCCCAUCGAGGGUCCUCAUGGUGGUGACGACUAAUGAUGAAGGAGGAAGGGGGCUUGGUGGUGGAGGCGAGGACGGUGCCUGCCCGUCUCCGCUUGGUCUGAGUGGCACUACUACUGCGAUAUGCAAGCACCUCAGGUGUGUCUACAUCCCUCAGUAUUUCCAAUGAUGCAUGCCUUAUUGUCUACGUCACUCAAAGUAGAUUUAUGGAGACGCAUGUGUUUUCCCUGAGAUAAAGGAUGAGUCAGGUUGCAAGCGGGGCGGGAUAUCCCGCUACGCCGCUGGACCGCCCCGCAAAAUACACCCGCGAAACUCCGCUGGGCCGACCGCUUCGUUUCUAGCGGGAUGAAGCGGUCACUCCGCAUUGUCCACCGACAGGCCGCAAGUACCGCAAAGCCCGCGUAGCUCUCAGAUCUCACUGAAGCUCCCAACUCCCCGACGGCCAGAGCCCGGGACCUCCCGCUCUCGCGGACGCCGCCUCCACACCCGGGGCCCCGACCUGCUCUUUCCUCUCCCCUCCCUCUCCGAGAACCUUCUAGGAGUUCCUGAAGCUAGGGUCGACAGUGGCGGCGCCGCCAUCUCUACCUCAGGGCUGGCCUGCUUAGAUCCUCGACGGAGAACUUGUUCCUCCACCGCCUAAUGUUCCUCUGUCGCUUCCCUCGCCAACUGCAGCCUGCGUUUCGUCGCCGUCAACUUCCGCGAGGCCUGCAUCCUCUCUCCGCCCUUUCCUCUCCUCCAAGAACAAAGUGCAUCUGAGGAGUCGCUGCAGCUACAAACGGAAAUACCCAACAUCUGUCCAAGGAAUGGGUAACUUCCUAAUGACCCUAAAGAUCAACUUCCCAGAAUGAUAUCCAAUGCUCGGAAGGAAGCUCAUCCUAGCAUGCAAGGGCUCGGAAAGGGCACCUGGGGCGAACUCGCGGAUUGGGCCACGGACGCGACCAGUUGGUGAAGGAAGCAGGGGUGUGGGGUGGCUUUGCAGGAGCGGUGCCCUUAAAGCGCACCACCAUGAGCCACCCAUUAACGGGGUAGACUCCGACCUGAAAGAGGUGAGAGCAGUUGUGGCCAGAGAGGAGGCGGACGACAGCGUGGCCAUGGAGGCCACUGACACAAGCUUAGGGAGGAGUACGGAAGCUUUGGGGAUGGCGGCACGACGGCGUCGGCAGCCCCAACUCCUACAUGACAAACAGGGGUGGGAAUAGGGCGACGAAGGUAGGCUGGAUCUGGCUUCAGCGGUUGGAGAGGACGUCGGGGAAAGGAGAUCAGGCCACUCAUUAAGUAGCAAUCAUGGUGUUGUCAUGUUGUAGCGACUGAACAUAGAAGCAAGCUGUGUGGUAUUGGUUCAGGUUCAGGUCCAGGUCCAGGUCCCUCCCUCUGGUCUAAAAACUUAUAGUUACCUAAAUAUUGUAAAUGUAUGAAUUGGCAAACGAAGGGCAUUUUCUUGUUGAAACUAACCA